rnacentral:lncRNA from 1 species
GACCCUCAGUCACUUUAGACUUACAUACCGUCCGCUCAACAUAGUCGGCUUGGGAGACAGCACAGUUUUAUCGAGCACGGGCAUCGUCAGUGAUAGAGUCUACCGUGUCUGGUCGGUUUGGAGAGUUAAACGUGUGUGCCACUAGUUCCCAAUAAGGUCUCCAGUCUUCCUAUUAGAAGCAGUGGAGAGAUUUGGCACAUCCUCUCCGUGAUAAGUCAACGUCUACACAGGCUUUCUUCUACAACUCAAAAUGAUGCGGCAUUCGCUUCUGGUCUACACGAUGGCUGUGGCCCUGAGCUCGGCUGUGACCUCGGCGGCGCCGCGGGGCAUUUACGGUCGCGCGCCACCUCUGCGCACGGCCAACAGCGCAGUUGAUCGGACCACAGCUGAAGGGAUCACCCCGCCCUUCAAUCGCCUUGGAGUGCGGGUACCGCAGCUGGCCAUAAAACAACAAACGAAAGACGCCUCAGGCAGGAAUUACGAUACUAAUCCGAGACUUCGUGUUCCGAUCCUGGCUAACUUUGAUGAUGUCAUUGGAAUCAAGUCCGGCGCUUCUGAGCCGGCUAGGGGUGGUCAUUCUGGACCUCGGGCUCCCCUACUGACGGCAGUUCCUGAUGAUGACGUCAGUGAUGACGUCACUGGUUCCAAUGGUGGUUAUCGAAUGGGACUUCGUGUGCCGAAACUUGCUGUGUGAAUAUUUUUAAUUCAAUCCUUAGGUGAUCUUGUAGAUAAGUGGCGUUUUAUAAACGCUCGUGAGUGACAACAUUUGAACGUCUAGUCGCUCCGUAGCCUUAUUGUUACUUUUUAUGUGACGUCAUCACACGUGUUUCCUACCGUUACAGCUGAGCAUAUGCUGCGGUCGAUUAGCUUUAAAUGUUAUUUAUGUCAAGAGUCAAUGUUUUAUGCAAAUGUCGAAUUCUUUAAUUUUGCUUGCAAGGCUGAGCGUUUUGAGUGUGCGCAUUGUUCAUGUAUCUACGUUUUAUUUUAAAGUAUUUAUUAUAAAAUUAUAUUAGUCGAUGCUUCGUACUGAUAACUUGCUUAAAUACAUGUUCAUAUAUA